rnacentral:sRNA from 1 species
GCUGGGAGCGGUGGCACACACCUAUAAUCCGAGCUGCUUGGGAGGCUGAGGCAGGAGGAUACUGAGUUCAAAGCCCGCCUCAGCAACCUAGUGAGGUCUUGAGCAACUCAAUGAGAUCCUGUCUCUA